UGAUUCGGAAGAGCGGGGUAGACGCAUUCAUAAUGCGGGUGUCGGCGGUUCAAGUCCGCCCGUAGCUACCA
rnacentral:tRNA from 1 species